rnacentral:misc_RNA from 1 species
AUUGUGUAAAUUAUGUUCUCCAAAGCCCUUUAAAGGCAUAAUAAUUGUCACUCUUGGUAGAUUGACCUGAUUGGAGUGCUCGAGUUCACUGAUGUCAUUGCAGAUGAAAGCAAAGCUAUUACCAGCUCGAACUCUCCCCUUUAUACGUUUAAUCUCUCUAUUUCUGACAUAAGCAGCACAAGCCCACCCAAAAGCAAGAACUAGG